UGACGUAAGCAAACCGGAAGUAGGGACAAAUAUUUUCCGGUGAAAGCGCUAGCCGAACAAUGGCGGAGUCCAAAAGUAAUCAGUCGUGUAGUGUACCUUUGUGUUCUAAUUCAAAGAAAAAGCAACCUUACUUAUCAUUUCAUAGUUUUCCCAUCGACGAAAAUGUAAGAAAGCGUUGGAUUUGGGCCAUACGGAGAAAAGAUGGGGCGGCAUUUACUGUGAGGAAAACUAGCACUUUUGUGCUAACUGUUAAGCACUUCACGGAAGAUGAGGUCCGUGUCCAUCCAGAGUCCGGUCGUAAGGCUGUGCCUUCCAGGUUUGCGUGGAACAGUUGGGGAGAAGUUAAAUCACGCUAGACUCGGACAUCAAAAGGAGGUGUUCGUGGUGCAGAGAAAGCAGUAGAUGUCGAAAUGGAGAGUGCUGGUGCAUGAUUACAACAGCCGUCCAGCCCCGGUAUCCUCUCAGAUUCUGAACACAUCAACCCCUCCUGACAUGUCAUCUUUCCAGUUUAAGAUAGCAAAACAUCAAUGUAUGUGCUAAAGUAGAAUUCAUCAACUUUAGCCUUGAUCUCUUUGAUCAGCUCAUCGUCUCUACACACCCUAUCUACAUUGAAGUCACCCCUUGUAUUUGUCACCAGAUCACACCAAGCUAAGCCAGUAACCAUCAGCUGACCUUGGACUUGCCAAUGGGCACUUAACUUCUACCAGGCCAUAGGAAGGUUCUUCAUUUGGGUGCACCACUUUGCCAUCUGGACUUGCACUAAGGUGUGGAGCAUCUGGGUGGAUGAUGAGACCAGAUGGAAGAACAUUAACAUCAAAGAAACGAUGCAUUGCUUUGGUGUGGGGGGCACCUUUAAUGAUCCGGCCAGCCCGUGUCAUUGCAGUGGAUUCGGACCUCACAUGAGCUGCUUCAUAGAACUUGCUUGCUAUGUCACCUCCAGACUCUGCAUAUGCAGGAGUUCAGCGCAGCUGCCAGCGACGAAAUUAUAUGGUGGAAGCUUGUAUUGUGGGACAGGUAAUGGGGGGAAUUGUGGAGCAUUUGGAUUUGUAAGUACAUCCUUUGACAGCACAGCUGGACACUGGUAUGACAGCAGUGAUCCUUUUGGGACCUCUCCAAAUUUAGAAGACACCAUGGUUAGAGCAGACAUUCCAUCAACUAUCUUCGCUAUCAGUGGUUGUGGACAACGGGAAAUGAGGGAUGCUGCUCCAGCAAUGACAUCAUUGUCAGGUAAAGGUUCUAAAAAAAGUUCAUGCCUCAGUGUUUUAAUUGUUACCUAAUGUGAAAAUGUGUUUUAUUAGUAUUUGGAUAUCGCCUCCAUAUGCUUUGUACAGAGUAGACUGCACAGAGCUCCUACCAGAGGCUUUCGGUUUGCGCACCACAAGCUCAUCGACUGGUUUGGGAGUGAUGCACUGACAAAACAUGUAUAUCUUGCACUAGAUUGCACUCUGAUUUGCACAUUAUGCAUUUUAAAUUAAUUUUAUUUGUUAAUGGUUGGCAAAUUAAAAUUGUUAAAAACUGACGAAUGAGGUUUCUGUCUUUAUUUAUUUAUAUUUACCUGGGUUCGGAGCCUAUGCCAGGCCUGCUGUUUGCUUGUGCAUGCAAGGGCAGCUGGAACAUUUUUGGUUCCAAUUGUACUAAAAUGUGCUGUCUGGUAAAGUAACCAGAUGGUUGCACAAACUUCUUCCAGCAGCACAAGAGCAUUGUAUAUGCUGCCACUUGAAGUGGAGUGUUGGCUUCAAGUGUAAUCUGAAGAAAGUGAUAGAAAGACAUAUAUAUUUCACAUCUUUAUUUAACCAUUGUGAGCUGUUCAGAGUGUACACUGU